rnacentral:rRNA from 1 species
CCGGAGAGGGAGCCUGAGAAACGGCUACCACAUCCAAGGAAGGCAGCAGGCGCGCAAAUUACCCAAUCCCGACACGGGGAGGUAGUGACAAUAAAUAACAAUACGGGGCUCUUUCGGGUCUCGUAAUUGGAAUGAGUACAAUUUAAAUCCCUUAACGAGGAACAAUUGGAGGGCAAGUCUGGUGCCAGCAGCCGCGGUAAUUCCAGCUCCAAUAGCGUAUAUUAAAGUUGUUGCAGUUAAAAAGCUCGUAGUUGAAUUUCGGGAUUGACACAUCGGUCGUGCCUUAAGGGGUAUGAACUGGUGUAGUCAAUUUCUCACCUUCUGGAGAACCGCGAUGCCCUUAAUUGGGUGUCACGGGGAACCAGGACCUUUACUUUGAAAAAAUUAGAGUGUUUAAAGCAGGCAUUUUGCUUGAAUACAUUAGCAUGGAAUAAUAAAAUAGGACGGCAUGAUUCUAUUUUGUUGGUUUCUAGGAUCACCGUAAUGAUUAAUAGGGAUAGUUGGGGGCAUUAGUAUUCAAUUGUCAGAGGUGAAAUUCUUGGAUUUAUUGAAGACUAACUACUGCGAAAGCAUUUGCCAAGGAUGUUUUCAUUAAUCAAGAACGAAAGUUAGGGGAUCGAAGACGAUCAGAUACCGUCGUAGUCUUAACCAUAAACUAUGCCGACUAGGAAUCAGACGAUGUUAAUUUUUUAAUGACUCGUUUGGCACCU